rnacentral:rRNA from 1 species
AGAGUUUGAUCAUGGCUCAGGAUGAACGCUAGCGGUAGGCCUAAUACAUGCAAGACGAACGGUAAGUUGAGUAGCAAUACUUAGCCAAGAGUGUCGUACGGGUGCGUAACACGUAUGCAACCUACCCUAUACAGGAGGAUAGCCUAGGGAAACCUGGAUUAACCCUUCAUAGUAUUAUUGGAUGGCAUCAUUUGAUAAUUAAAACUGAGGUGGUAUAGGAUGGGCAUGCGUCUGAUUAGUUAGUUGGCGGGGUAAUGGCCCACCAAGACGAUGAUCAGUAGGGGGUUCUGAGAGGAAGAUCCCCCACACUGGCACUGAGAUACGGGCCAGACUCCUACGGGAGGCAGCAGUAGGGAAUAUUGGUCAAUGGAUGCAAGUCUGAACCAGCCAUGCCGCGUGCAGGAAGAAGGCCUUCUGGGUUGUAAACUGCUUUUGCCAGGGGAUAAAAUUUCCAUGCGUGGAAAACUGAAGGUACCUGGUGAAUAAGCCACGGCUAACUACGUG